ACAGCAGUCGCCGCGGUAAUACGAAGGGUGCAAGCGUUAAUCGGAAUUACUGGGCGUAAAGCGUGCGUAGGCGGUUUGUUAAGUCUGUUGUGAAAUCCCCGGGCUCAACCUGGGAAUGGCAAUGGAUACUGGCAAGCUAGAGUGUGUCAGAGGAUGGUGGAAUUCCCGGUGUAGCGGUGAAAUGCGUAGAGAUCGGGAGGAACAUCAGUGGCGAAGGCGGCCAUCUGGGACAACACUGACGCUGAGGCACGAAAGCGUGGGGAGCAAACAGGAUUAGAUACCCCUGUAGUCCCUGUCUCUUAUAC
rnacentral:rRNA from 1 species